rnacentral:rRNA from 1 species
GAUGAACGCUGGCGGCGUGCCUAAUACAUGCAAGUCGAGCGAACAGAUAAGGAGCUUGCUCCUUUGACGUUAGCGGCGGACGGGUGAGUUACACGUGGAUAACCUACCUAUAAGACUGGGAUAACUUCGGGAAACCGGGGCUAAUACCGGAUAACAUAUUGAACCGCAUGGUUCAAUAGUGAAAGGCGGCUUUGCUGUCACUUAUAGAUGGAUCCGCGCCGUAUUAGCUAGUUGGUAAGGUAACGGCUUACCAAGGCAACGAUACGUAGCCGACCUGAGAGGGUGAUCGGCCACACUGGAACUGAGACACGGUCCAGACUCCUACGGGAGGCAGCAGUAGGGAAUCUUCCGCAAUGGGCGAAAGCCUGACGGAGCAACGCCGCGUGAGUGAUGAAGGUCUUCGGAUCGUAAAACUCUGUUAUCAGGGAAGAACAAAUGUGUAAGUAACUGUGCACAUCUUGACGGUACCUGAUCAGAAAGCCACGGCUAACUACGUG